GACUCAAGCAUUUAUUAAAGGCUCAUAAGAGUCUACAUAUUGUGAUAUUACAAACAGGGGUCACAUGACCCAACACUCAAGUCAUACAAGCAUCAAGCGGAAGCAUAAUAUGUCUGGGUACAGACAUCUACUGAAAGUGGUUGGAGGAGACUGAAAAUCUACAACGAUCCUACCAAAUGAGCCAGACCUCUGUGUGGGAUUCUCAAGCUAUUCCGGUCAACAUCGUACACAUCACGUAGAUCCAAUAAUGAGACUAAUGUCUCCUCUACAAAAACAUAAAUUAAGAAACCGUGGGUAUAAUGGUACUCACCAAGACUUAUAUGAGAACUAGCUACAUAUGCAUCAUUGUCAACAAAGGGGGUUGUGGAGUUUAAUUGCAGCAAGCCAACAUUUAACUCCUGGCUAACCUGUACUACGACCACGAACACUUUCUUUGAGGUGGGGUAGCGCACACGAGUCCACAUAUUCACCAAAUCAAUACGCCAUUAUGGAUCCACU
rnacentral:lncRNA from 1 species